AAACUAGGAUUAGAUACCCUAUUAUUGAAUAAUAAUUAGUACUACCUGAUUUUCAAAAAUUAAAUAAAAUUGACGGCUUUUUAAAAAAUUUAGAGGAAUUUAUCAUAUUAAGGAUACGACACCAAAACCUUACUUUAUUUAGAACUUUGAACAGUCAGUAUACCUCUAUUAUUAAAUUAAAAAAUUAAUUUUAACUAUCUUUUAAAGAAAAAAAUUAAGUCAAGGUGCUACUAAUAAUAAAGAUACAGAUAAACUAUAUCAUUUCAGAAAAUUACAAAAUUUUUAAUAAAAAAUUUAAAUUAAGAAAAAUUUAAAAGUAAGUAUUUUAAACUAAAAUUUAAUGAAUUCAAAAUUAUAAGUGUACAUAUCGCCCGUCACUCUUUAACUAUCAAAGAUAAGUCGUAACAUAGUAA
rnacentral:rRNA from 1 species